rnacentral:tRNA from 1 species
UGUGCUGUAGCUUAGGGGUUAAAGCACCUGUCUUGUAAACAGGGGAUCCUGGGUUCAAAUCCUAGCAGUGCCU